GGCCAGCAUAGCCUGGUGUUUUAGGGGCAUCUGGUCCCUUCCAGCACAGUGCAGGGGACACAGGAGGCCAUGCUCACACUGGGGCUGCAUGGCAGAAAAGUCCAGGAUAUCCAUGGAGACAAGUCACAGCAUAGGGAUGCCAUCCCAAGGCACAGCUACUGCCACAGGCAGCACCAAACAAAACCCACAGAGCUCCUGGAAUCACCUGCAGAGAACUCUGUAUGGCUCUGUGGAGUGCACAGGACACCUGUGUACACAGGUGGCUGCAGCUUGUGCCUCUGGACUAGGCAGUUGCAAAACAGGGAAACCAAAAGUAAUCUGAAGAGCAAAUUCCAGUCUUAAAUUACAUUUUAAGUCUCAAGGAUACUAUUCCAGUGAACUGGCAGAGCAAGCUGUCUUACUCUGCCAGCUGAACAAUACCAAUAUCACCCAACAUGGGUGUCAAAAAAAGGCAGAGAUCCUGACCAUAGUUUACAACCAUGGGACUGUUUUUGCUGUAGAGGGGGGAGAAAAAUGAGUCAUCACUUGGCUCAUAGAAGCCUCCUCAUUAUUUGAGGUCAAAUUCCUGACAUGUUCAUGUUUGAGUUUGAGAUGGAGGUGUUAGGAAUGAAUGCACCAGGGAGCCCUGAACACCAGGCAUGGAUCAGAGAGAUGAGCUGUGAACUUUGGAGACUGCAGAAGGGCAAGUUCCAGAAGGAGCAAUUGGGCAGCAGGCUUGAACUGAAGUUUGUGAGCUCUGAGAGAGAGCCCACUCAGAGGGAGAUUGCUGGUCACAGCCCACUGCAGUCCUGGAGAGCUCAAAGGCUCUCACUUAGGACUGAGCUUUGUAGGGUUACAAAAGAGUUGACUUUAGCCAUGGUAACUUUCUAUCCUGCCUGCAAUUCCAGUUGUUUUUGCUAUCAAGCUUUCAAAGAAAAAAUACACUUGGGUUGUUAUUCAGGCAAGAAAGGUAAGUUUCCAAGGCUGUUUGUUGAAAAGCAGGAGCUGCUUAGACAACUUGCGUUUCUGGAAGCAGACAGUGUUUCUGAUGGGCUCAAGAGGAGCUGAGCCCAGGUGCUGUUCAUCAAGGCUGAGGCCUGACAAGCAUUUCUUACACUGUAGUGCAUCCAGAGGUGGGGAGGAAGGGAGCAUGCACCACCAAACCUUUUUUCAGGCCAUUCCAAAGAGGUGUUUUUCUCGAGGCUUUAGUCAGGGCUGACUACCAAGAUUGUCCUAGCUUUUUUUGGAGCCUCCUAUGCUUUACCUGCUUUCACUCAUGUUCCCUGUCUCCAAGACUUCUGUACAAAACAGUAAUUACUUAGCAACUGUCAUAUCUGUUCCCACCCUCGUUGGUUCAAUUUUGUGGAUAUUUGGCUCUCCUUUGGGCAGUGACUCGUGCAGUGUUUUGGAAUGGAGAUGGCUGUUUCUCUGCAAUGGAACCAGACUGUAUCUUAUAGCCAACUUAAGACCAGCAGUAACGUCUGUCUGUUUUCACUGCAUUUCACCAAGCUGUGGAACAAUGAUUGGGGUAAUAUCAGAGGAAAGGAGCUUAUAUUCACAGCCUAAUAGAGGUUAUAACAGUAAGGAAAUUAUAGAGUAAAACACAGUUGCUGCUCUCUGGAUGGAAUGUGGUUGGUGUGCUCAAAACCUAUUCCACGACGAUUCCCCACACCCACAGUCUGCAACCACAGCACCUGCUAAGGGGGAUGAAGCAGAGGGUGGAGUGGAGACACCUCAUUUGGGCUCUGUUGAAAUCCUUGCAAGGAGGGGAACUCAGUAGCACUUUGCAGCUGAGAAACUGCAAAAAACCUGUCAGCCAAGGGAGACAGGAGAUGUCCUGCUGCUGAGCCAACAGCUGUGGUGAAAUCAUGCUCCUUGUAUGAACUUGGUCCAUUAUAGCCUAAUUGUAACAACACACACCUCCACCCCAAAGUACAACCACCUCUCAUUGGGCAUGUGCUCUGUAUUUUUGACUGUAUGUUUAAAAACAAAGUGAGAGAAUUUUACACCAAUCAGUAACAAAGGUAUUGUAUGACUGCAGUCACCCAAGCUCCACCAAAAUGUAGAGAAUUAGUAUAGAAGUAAGUUGAGAGUGAAGGAAGUUAGGGAAGACUCCAUCAUAGCUACCAGCUGAUAGGCUGAACCUGUCUUCUCCCCUGUGGAAACACCAAUUGGGUUGCUUACUGGCACUAUUGGGCCAACAAAGGCUGUAGCUCCAGGAACGUUGUACUUGCCACCGAGAGAAGCUGAUACAAGGUAAAUGAGGCGAAGAAUUGCCGUGGCGACUGCACUCCCCGCCCUGACAGAUGCCAGGCUUCCAGGCAAGAAUAUCUGUGCGUUGCUCUAAAGCCCCCAAGCUCUCCCUCUUUUCGGAGAGGGUGAGGACCAUGCUACCCUGUCUCCAGACUGGGAGAAUGGUAAACACCAGGAUAUGGAGUGGUUUCUGCACAUUUCAGUAGAAGAGGCCACUGUCUGGGUACCUCUUGCACUGGUCACUACUGCAGUGCAUAGACAGAAGGGCUGUGGUUCGAAUUACUGUGACACAGUGUGGUUCUUGCACUGUGUGCCCACUUAGUGUCCUCAGGAGCAGCGAGGUCUGAGCCAGCUGCCAGCCCUUAGGCACAAACUGCGUGUGCAGAGAGCUGUGUGCUGGAGGACAUCACACCUGUGCUGCAAGAGGUGCUCCAGGGAGAAUCACAGGGAACACUCCAAUCCUGGUGCCACCAGGAGCUUGGAGCUCACCAGCAACACGUACUGCAAGACUCCAAGGACAGACAAAAGACAAAUGUGCACCAGAACAUAAGGCCUUUUUGCACCUAGUGUAUUCAUACUUGCUUUUAGUGCCCACAUGGAACAUGUUCUCUAUUUUCUCUGUUCUUAUUUGGAUUAAAUCAUGUCCUGUGCUGUCUUGUCCCUGGCAAAGAAAGUACAGCUGCAUCUUUCGGGUACCACAGGUGCUAAGGUGUGUUCCUCAAAGACUUCUAUAUUUUAUCUUCAGAGACCUUACUCCUUUCAUCUUCAGAAACCUCAUUUCUUUCUCAGUUCUUUAGUUCUAAGUGGUCUGUGAGGCUAUAAUAAAUCAUAUGUCUUCUGUGUUCUCAGUUAGAGGUUUGGGGAGAUGGUUACUUUGUAGUCUGUGAGGAAAACUUGAAGGAGGAAAGGCUUUGUGGACCACAAAUGUUUGGAGAUGCUUGGUUUGAGGAGCAACACUGAUGUAUCCUGCACAGCCCCAUAUGAAAAAGCUGGAAAGAAGAAACCAAGGGAAUGAUCAUGCUGGUCCUGGAGGCUGAAGUACCACAGGAAACCAGGGAAGUGCUGUAGACCAGCAAAAAAAUAAUAUUCAUGGAAUCAAAACACAAAGUACUUGCACAGUCACUCUCCAGAUGGGACCCCAUGGCUUCUCCGUAGGUUUCAUGAGAAGGGAAGAAGUGCUAGUGAAUUUGACAGUGGUAGUAAUAAGACUAUGCAAGACUUCCUUGGGUGCCUAAGAUGCCUAUGCAAGCCAGGACCUGCCUGCAGACUUGUUCCACUUUCAGCUCAGAUUGCUUCUCUCCUUUCUGGGACAUCAAGAGCAGAAUCCUUCAGAGCAGGACCUGCUACAGAAAUCCAGAUCAGCUUGCAUUAAGAAAAUGAAAAUGAAAAUACAAGAAAACAGCUUGUAUGAGCAAAGCUGUUACUUAGAGUGGCAACUUUUAUCUCACCUCAACUUUACCCGAAGACAUAUGAAGAUAUUCUAGUCAUUGUUCAAGUCCAUAUAUAGAAAAAUGGUUUAUUAAGGGAACAAAAGACAUGAAAACCAUGGACUUAGAAUUCAGCCUGUGACAUGAAGAAACUAGCUCCUGUUCACCACCUUCCAGUUUCAUGACUCUGUCUUGUCUCAUCUUCAGAGAUGGGUGAGUUGGACAAUCUUUGCUUCCUUCUCCAGAGUGAAGAACGGUCAGCCUUCUCAGUUAGGAAAACAGAUAUUCCUCUUCAUCCUUCUCCAUCUUCAGGUGCCACUAAGGGCUGUUUUCUGAACUUGACUCAGUCAACUUUCUUUUCUGUUCAUGUUGUAACCUCUCUGCAUAAUAUAUUCAGUCUUCUAGGGCUCAGCUGUAAAUAUACCAGGCCCAGGCUACAGAAGGGACACACAUUUAGCAUAGAACAAGAUAUUAAAACUCUUAUCUGAUUAUUUUAGACCUUAAGUUACUGGAACUCCUUGCAGUAUUGUAAGGAAUUAACUGCAUGCAAACACACAUUCACCUCCUAUGAAAUAAGCAGACCAGACACUUUACCCAUGAGGAAAAGCUGCCACAUAUGUAUUAAAUUGGAUUUUGAUACUGCAGGCAACACCCCUCUGCAACUGCCCAACAAACCCUGAACUGCCCAUAAGAAAAGCAGCCCUGCAGACAUAUGCAGGGCUCCUCCACAGCAGCUGGCAGAUUGCAGAGGGAGUAGAUGCAAAAGAAGCCUGGAGGGAACUGCACAAGAGAUACAGCAGCAAUAACAAUACACUGAAACAACUAACAGGGAGAAAAAGAAAAGAAGAAAAUAGCCAGCCCAAAACCGAUAGAGAUCUUUAAUUUAAAACCAAGUAAGUUUAUUCAUUGUGAAAGUGCAACAAAAUACCCUAGGGAUAGUGCAUUCCACUCCAACAAUUAAAAUUGCAUUAAAAACUAGAUAGGAUGGUCUGAAUCUUAAAAAGAACUAGCACAAAAGCCAGUGCUUUUCUUUGUUUCAAUAUAUUUAUCUUUGGGUGACAGAGAUAGUCACUGAUUAAUUUUUUAGGUACUUAAUUUACAGCUUCAUUGCUAUUAUUUGCAAGUCAUCCUGCUCCUUACAGAUGCUAGCUCGGGACUGGAGAACUGUAACACACAGGCACUUAGGAGAGGGCAGUUUUGAAAGAAUGGCCAUGUUGGGCUCAGUCACAUACUUACUGCUGGGAGGAGACCCAGUUGGGAGCUACUAGAUAUUCUAAGUAGAUAUUGCUCCCAAACGUUUCUAAAAUCGGAGACAAGAUGUUCAGUACCAUUACUAAAAGCAGAUUCUGCUGCAGCUGAGGGGAUGCAAACAGGCAAAAGGAGAGCACAGGACUAUGCAAAGCUUACAGCAGGUGUUGCUUGAGGGAGCUGCCAGUUUCUGACCACUGAACCCAUUUUUGCUGUAGAAGUAAUUAUCUGGAAAAUGCUGCAGGUAGGUCUUACAUCCAUAGCAGCCUAUUCUCAUACAUACUUGUUACUUUGCUUCAGCUGAGCUUUACAAGCCCAACAGGAUUCUCUAUCCCAUAGCAAUUAUGUAUCUUUUGCUAACACUCUCUGCCCAAUGAUUUCAAAAUACUUUAUAAGCAUCACUCCUAAAGCUUAAACCAAGCUUCAGCAAAAGCUUAAACCAUUUAAGCUUAACCAAGCUUAAAGUUCUCUGACAUACAGGUGUUUUAAAGGAAACAGAGUACAGUAAACAUUUGCAACAAAAUGCCAACAGAAUUAAUCUCCUGAGUCCCAGUCCUGAACUUAUCCUUCUUUUCUUUUUAAAUUAUUUUUCUUCUCCUUCUACCCAUUUAUUACAGCAAGAGGACUACAUUUAUUCUGCACAGGUUUAUUAACUGCAAUACAGACAAGUGACUUCCAGUAUUACACCAGUUCCUAAUUCCACACGGAGAUUGCCUGUCUGGUCCAUGUCAGUACUAUGGCCUGGUCUCAGCUGACUCUGUUUGGUUUAUGUCUUUUGGCUUUGCUGUUCUCAUGAUAACUGUCUUCAGAGGGUGCUUGGCCCUUUCCAUUUGUCCCAGAUUCCUCUGGAAAUUUCUGACCCUCAGCCAACACCUGUCGAACAGUCAUGUUGAUGCGGGAGGACUGCAGGUACUUGGCACACACCUGCCAGUCCUCAUCAGAGCUGUGCUCAAUGACUGAGCCAACAGGAAGGUCUGAAGGAAGAGCUUGGUCGAGGCAGGAAGGCAGAGCUGUCCCCUCAGGGUUGGCGAGGACCCUGGGGACAGCGUGGUACAGCAGGCGGCUGAAGCCAGACAUCACCAUGAUAUCCCCGCUGUGCAUGAACAUCGCUGUCGGCGCCUCCUCCCGCUUCAGGCCCCCAAGCAAAAAUAUUGAGGAUUGCCCAAAACUACACAUGGUAUAAAGAUGGAGAGAGAAAACAAAUUCAGGUACAGAACAAUUUUCUCUACAGUAAGAAAAUACCAGUAGUUAAAUUCCUUAAUUAAAAACACCCCAAGCAAUCACAAAAACCAGAGACUCCUAAGAACAACUUUUAGGUGGGAACAUGGCAAACAGACCAAGAGAUCUGGUUCAAGAUAGGCACAGUGCAAGCAAUUGCCCUGCCAGGUUUGAAGCUCUGCUGAGAUACUUCUUUAGUACCCAACUGGUGCUCUGCUGCUUUAGAACAGAACUGUGCUCUCUGCAAAAGAGCUCUUCAUUCCAGGCACUAUAUCCAGGCUAUUUAAGCAGUCCUUAAAGAAAACCUAUGCCUCCAACCUACAGACUUCUGCUAUUCAAAUCUUCUGAGAGUGAAGAUUAUAUACCCAAUUAGCAAACUACAUCAUACUGCCUUCCUGUAACCAUAAGCAACCCUAGAAAAAAGCCACUGAUCUUUCCAUAACACUCAAAUGUGCUUUCCUUGACUCACCUGAAUGACAGCAGGGGCCGAGAAUGGUCUAGUUCAGACUCAUCCACAUGAAUUCCCAGUGAAGAGUCAAAGUGAUAGUAGUUCAAGAUCCCUGCUUGGGCUUGGAAACCCCGAAACCCACAGGCUGCAGCCACUUGUUCUGAUAGGAAUGCAAGGUCUGAGGGGAAAGGAGUGUGGUGAUUUGCUGAGUACUUCUGGAAGGAGGAGAGGGGGGAAGGAAAAAAAAAAAAGAAAGCCACACCCAACACAUCAGAGCAGCAAAUACACUUGGAAACAAGCAUUGAAAAAGAACUCAAAAUCCUGGCUGAUAGUCAUGGAAAAGGACAUCAUAUUUACCUAGAAAAUGACUACAACACAGGCAGAAUCACAGCAAAUUUACCUCCUACCAUUACAUUCAUGGCCUAGGCUGAGACUGCCAGAGAUUCAAUUAAUUAUGGAGUUAAUCAUUAUAUCUAGAUGCUAAAUUUGAAAUCAGUAAGAUUAGUACCAACACCCUGAGGAUCUUCUCAGUCACAACCUAAAGCUGCCAAUGGGAAGACAGUUCUGUAGCUCAUCAACAGAGCUCCAAAAUAAGCAUCUUUAUUCCUUCAUAAAUAACAACCAGAAAUCAAUUGCAAACCUACUUUUUCUCUUUCCCAUAAGUCAUUCUGAGAGGACUGGAAGAUAAUAACCAAACUUUUAUUAAGGCCAUCCAAUAACAGGUUGAUCUGGUAAAUAAAAGGCUGCAAGCAGAUUUGGUUAUCUGCAACAUACAGAUAAGAUGCAUAUUCACUCUGCCAGUGUUUAUCAGCCUCCAUCUAUCUCAGUCUCAUGAAAAAAAAGUUUAUUUUGAUCAGGAUCCUCAAAACAGCUGUCAGUUGGUAAGAAUGCACUGUAGUGGUUCAGACUCAUUAAAGAUCAGCAGUUUCUUCUUGCUCCUCCUCACCCCACCAAAGAGUAGUUUCCCAGAAGUCCUACUCAACUUAAGUAGUUAGCAAUGCUUUUGUAAUCAUCCCUUUUGGUAGGUAAAAAUGCCACUUACCCUGAAAUAGUUGCAGGUUUAGAGCUGAGUGUAUACUAUCACGUUAACUUUCAAAGGAAAAGAAUGCAGCAAUGGACUUUUGCUGUUCAACCCUUCACAGUAAACCAAUACAAAUGAAAAUGUUCUUGAAAGCAGUUUGUUAGUGCCUUUUCUCAAGACUGUCUUGUAGGAUCAUAAACAUUUUAUUCCAUUAUAUCCUUCUCUGUCUGCCAUUCUGAGUGUUUAUGGCUAAGAAAAAUGGAGAAGAAUUUAACCUCAUUACCUUAGUAUCCCAGUUAUAAUGGUAACCAAGGGUCACCCAGCGCAGCUUCUCCAAUAGGCUCCUGGGCUCCCAUUUACUGGAACCUUUCCUUCUGCAAAGACAAAAUAUAAAGAAAUGGGAUAUGUGUUAAUUUCUGAGGGGUCUUCUGGUAGUGCAGCAUACGGUAAUGAGAUUCACUCAUCCAUUUCACAGCCUAUUAAAACCAGUCAAUGCUAUUAAAAAUGAUCAAUACUAAACUUUUAUUUUCAAUGCCAAUACUCUCUUCCUCCAAAGACCUUGAAAAUUUAGUUCAUGGAAUGUGUGGAAGCUGUGGGGCCUACUGCCAACUGUUGUCAGUUUGAAAGCUUGUAUUUUCAACAUGGUACCUAAGAGAUUAUUGGAUGGAAACACAACGAGUAGCACAGAUUAAGAAGUCAGAAUUAAACAUAUCCUAUUUGAGCACCCAAAAGUGAAAGACCAGAAUUUCAAGAUCUGAAAGCUGCAAAUUCAAGGAAAAAACAUUCUAGGCACUUAAUGGAAAAUUACAAGAAAGGAAAAUGAGUUGCCUGACAGUGAAGCAUAGUAUGCUGCCUAAUAUUGCAAAGGAUGGUUAGUUCUACUACUUGGUACUUUAAUAAAAUGUCCUUAGGAUGGGCUGACUUGCAGUAAGGAGCAAGACUUCUCUAGCUGUGACCACAGUGUCAAGAAAUCUAGACUGCAGGUGUCCCCUAUUCCAGACUGCUAUGCAGGACAAAGAACUGUUCUUCUCAUGUGAAAACCCUGAAGUAAAGGGACUGAGUGGUCUGAAGCCACACACCAGUUUACCAUUCUUACUUGCAGGCGAUGAAAGCAAGACGAGGCUUCAAGGGGAGGCUUCUAGGACAAACUAUGGAAAAGCCUUUGAAAAGUUACAGAGUACAAAUAACUAAAUCAAAUAUGUUAAUGACAAAUACAAAAAUGAAGGUACACAUCUAUCUUCUAGUCUACUCAUUCCAGCAAUUUCAGCAUACUUUUCUCAAGCCAAGUCAUGUGUUGUGGUAAAAAAAGAAAAAUACAGAAAGGGGAAAUAUACUAAGAAGACAAACAGUAGUACCAGACAGCUGGCUCUCAUUUAUAGCCUCAUUAGUUCAGCAUCAUCUUUUACAAAAAAAGAUUUAUAUUUGUGCUGUCAUGGUCAAGUCUCAGCCAAACAUCUGCAUUUAAUGUGCAUUUCUACCUGGAUACACAUCUUGUUCUUGCCCUUCAACUAUGCCAUCCUGAUAACUCAUAAGGUAAACCAGGAACAGGAGUACAAAGCAAGCUUCUUUACCUUUAGUAAUUUUUCUCAGUUCACUGAUUAGUGAAAAUAGUCUUUCCAAUUUCCAUCUGUCAUAGGGUAACAGCAACUGCAAUUACCAUAAACACCAACACAGUAUCUGUCAAAUACAUGCUGCUUGGAACAAUUUGUGUAGCCCACAAGCAGGCAACACAGCAUUUAGAAAAGGAGAGCCCACAGUUUGCUCUUGUACAUCUUUCAACUGACAAACAGUGUUCAGAAUGAAACAACUUUAGCAUGUGCCUUUCAGUGCCCUUUUUUAGCUACAGUGCUAGGAGUGUUUGCACAACAGCAAGAGCCCAAAUGUGUGUAGGAAGUCCUUAUUCCCAGAACUUGGUAUUUUACAUGUGAUUUCAUAUGUGCUUGCUAAGAAGGGGAAAGUAAGAGUGUUAUAUAUCUGGAAACAAUGAGGUCCCAUAAGAAAGCACAGAAAAGGUCUGGUAUAACUAUGUUAGAAAAAGACUGAACAGCAUGGGAGCUUUGGUCUGAAGAUCCCUUGUUUUUUUAUUUGCUGGUAAUGACUGCAUCUUUUUUCCUAAUACCCAAGGAUGGAGACACAGAUAUACAGGUAUCUCCCUUGGGGGAAUGCUCUAUUCCCUUUUAUGCUUUUAAUUGUCCCAAGUACCAGAGAAAAUAUUCAGGCUCCACUUUGUGAGGAAAGCAUAGCAUAUAUAUCAUGGAAUUGUAUAGAUUCACCCUACCUUGUGAUUCCUGCAUCCUGAAAAGAGCAGAUAAGCCAUGACCCAAGCACAUGCAUGCAUUAUCCUACUGGCUUUAAAAGCAUUAAAGGUGUGACCCAUCUUGGAAGUAGACCUCUCUUCAGUCAAGCACUGUUUCUUGCCUCCCCAAAAGUUUUCACUCCAGGUACUAGAGACGCUGGCUAGUUCCAUCUGCUGCCUCCAGGUAUAAGCACAAAUACAGCAGUUUGCUCACUUGAAGACUUCAAAAAAUUGCCAGGGUUGCUGCCACCCAUGACUUUUCUAAACACUCUUUUCAACUGAACUAGAUUCAGCUGCAAAUUAACCUCUGCUCUGAUCACUCUGCACACAGGAGGUCCAGCUGGGAGAAGCCUGUCAAACUGGAACAGUACCCCACUUUUUUCAGCCAUUGGGCACAAUGCACAAUCCUUUCACAGAACAAUUUUUCAUUCUUGAUGGAACACAAAAAUGGUGUCUACAUUUCUGUAACUAAUUCUGAUUGAGCCUGGAAAACAGAGGUGAGAGUAUAACUUCUCUCCUAGGUGCAAACAGGUGAGAGUAUAACUUCUCUCCUAGGUGCAAACAGUUAGGAGUCCCAAUCUUGCUUUUGCCAUUCCAUAUCUUGUAUGUUAAGAGUUUUUUUGCAGAAAAAGCUCAGCAUGUCAACCUAAGAGAAUGAGGUGGAAGCUGAGCAUUGUAGAGAACUCCGGUUGCACCAACAAAAAAAACAACCAUUAUGAAAAAUGAGCAGUGAAAUCAAUAAGGUAAUGAUAAAUAUUCAAAUAUCUAAAAGAUUGUGUACUGUAAACAGUCUGUCUUACAUGUACUUUUACAGGUGACUUUUAUUAAAGUUCAAGCUUUAAAAGACUGUUCCUUUUUUAAAACUUUCUACUUGACUUCAAAACUGGGACAAUUUCUCCAUUAAAUUCCAGAUCAGGUAGAGGAAAGGCAGUUACAUCAGCCACCAAAUUCUGAACCUGAUGGAAUCUUUCAGAUUAAACAUGAUUGCCAUUAAAAUGGUACAUUUAAUAAAUUUAAUUCAAUGUCAUGCUGAAUUAAGAACCACAAACAAAACCAAACCAAAAUAAAUACUUUAGAAAAUAACACAGAAACUGUUAGAUUUGAGAAGUUCAAGGAAGUACAGCUAAUAGCAUUUCAAUUACAGUGUACUGGGUCUAAGAGCUGACUGGGAAGAAGGGCUACCAUUAGUGGGGAGUUUUGGAAAGGAUCUGUUUUGCCUCAGGAAAACUGAGGCCUAGAGGGACUUCAUGGUUCCACUCACAGCUGAGCUUAGCAAGCUUCAAGCACCACACCAGCCAGGGCCACUAUGUAACAGUUCACCAAUGGCUUCAGAACAAAGUGCUACUAGAAAAUCCACUGAGAAUGAAAGCUGAGAAUUAGCAAGGAUGCACAUGAAGCCAUGAAAUAUCCAUCUUUAACUUAGCAUGUCUGACAACAUCUGUAUUCUGCCAGCAUGUACACAAUCUCCUCCAUCUUCCCUUCCCUGCUCAAUUUUCUUAGACCUCCUCAAAGGUGAUAUCUGGCUCCAUCAGUUUUGACCAUGAGAGGUGACAGUGGACUCACCUCAGCUGCUCCUUGCUCUGUCCCCACAGGUCAGUGGUCUUCUCAGGAGCCAUGUGCAGGUCCAGGUUGCAGACAUUGGGUUUCUCAGGGUAUAGCUUGAGACACUGCUUCACCCAGUGACGCUGGCAGCCAGGAAGGAAAGGGUUUGGUAUGAAAAUAAACCCUGACCACAAAGAAAAAAGGAGAAGAUGGAGACAAAGUAGGAUUAGACGUUUCCCUGGUUUUUCUUCUGAAUCUAGAGCAAAGGAUAGGAGCCACAGAUUACACUAAAUUGGAGCAGCCGUGGAUCUACUGGAGGCUAGUGCUGUCCUGAAAAGGAUUUUGACAAAUGAAGAACAGGCUAAAGAGACCCUCAGAAGUUCAACAGUGGUAAUUCUGCAUCUGGGGCAGAAUAACACCAUGCAACAGCAUGGCCCAAGGGUCAAGAGCAGCUCCAAACCAAGGCCAGGCUGCCUUGAGGACAAACUGUGAGCAGCAGUGAGGGCCAGUGACACACCCUGGUAUUGGUGAGCCCCACCCACAAGCAUGAGAGAGGAGGGGAGCCUGAUUCUUCUCAGAUGUGCACAGCAAGAUUGUGAGAGACAACAGUCACAAGUAACAGCAAGACAAAUUUUUAAUUAAUAUGAGGUUCAGGAAAAAAAACAUGGCCAAACAUUGGUGCCCAGAGAGGGCAUGUAAUCUCUCUCUAAAUUACCAGAAUUUACCCAUAUAAGGCUCUCAGCAUCCUGAUCUAACUGGCAACUUCAUCCUGCUUUAAGCAGGGUGUUGGCCUAGACCUCCGGAGGUGCCUUCCAACCUAAUACCUCAAUGUGAUUAUACCAGGUAAACUGCAAACCUAACACACAUUUCCACUUCUGAAAUAACCUGCAUAAUGAAAUUACACUGCAUAUUGAACAGGCCAAAAGGUUCUUAUUCGCUUACUGAACUUUGUGUCCUACACUGACAAGUAGAUGCCACACUUCCACUGUGAAACUACUGCAUUUCAGCCAUGUACCCAGUGAACAUGAUGUAUAUUGAGAAAAAACAGAUUCUACAGAAAUACAGUCUCUGCCAAAGGCAACAGGAGUCCAUUCUCAUGAGCUAUGGUCUGGCUGAUCUCACAGUGAAACAAGUGGCUCUUCUCAUGUUCAUAAAUAUUGCUGUAUCCCAACCUUUAGGUGAUUUGUUUGUCCUCCUGCAUUUACAACAACAUUAAACUACACUUAGGCAAACCAAAAUAGCUUUUUCAGGCAGGACAAGAAGAAUAAGAUUGAAACUGCAUGAAUUCAAAGCAAUGAGGUUGUGUUCAAUUUUUCUUGAAAUCAGAGGUACCCACCUGGAUACCCACUGAGGCCAUAGGCUUUCCACUGACUAACUGGCUGUAAUCCUGCUCUGUAGGCAUCUUGAUCACUGACUGAAGAAAUACUGAGCUGUGAUCUGAACACCUGGAAAAAUAAAACAGAUCUGGUUUAAAAAAGAGUGAGAAACAAAAAACUCAUCCAAAAAUGGCAUCUAAAAGGAAGCGUGCUACCAUGUUUGAAGGUAACUCUCUUGAAAAUGCCAAAUGUACACAAAACUACUCUCUAAACAGCUGUGACCAGGACAGGGUGAACAGAGCCAGCACACACUGAACAUAAGAAUCAAAAGGUACUUACAGGUUUUAUCUAGGGAUGAGAUGUCCCCCACUCAUUAAAAACCCGAACAAUAUAUACCAAUGGGAAAAAAUUCAUCAUGAUUUGUCCAUUUCCACAGUACAGCAUCAUCAUUAUAAAACAUUCUGGUAACUAUCAACCUCCAUUAGAGAGCAACACACUCAUAACACUUUAUACUUUCAAAGAACAUUCCAAAACCAGGUUGCCCAUGAUCCUAGAGGGUAGAUGACUAUUCUCAUCUCUAAUUUACAGGAUAAGCAGUUGAGCAAUGAAGUAGCCAAAGCUGUCUGAUAUGAAGGACUACAGAAACUGUCAAUUCUGAAUGUCACCCUGCCAAUUCUGUUCCAAACAGCAGAAUCAACAGCUCAAGCCUUGGCAAGAUGUAUUUACUUGACAUACUCCCUUAUGUUACAACAACACAUGUAUUUAAGCUAACAUUUGCUGGAAAAAACCCACCAAACUCAUUCUCUACUGUGUUCUCACUCCCUUCUUCCCUUAGGACCGGGAACUGUCUUGAGGAGGGCAAGGCAGAAGCAAGUUGGUUUUGUUCUGGCUUAACUCCCCAGUCCAGCUCUCCAUGCAGCAGUGGAAAAGUAGAGGCUCAUGUAAGGAGAGAUGGCCAGGCACAGAAGGAGUACAUAGGCAGAGAAUGCAAGAUUUUGUCCAUUACAACUUAAAAUGUAUAUCAAAUGAAGGCCUCUGCACACAGC